CUACACACGUGCUUUAGUCAGGGGUCUUCAAAUUGACCCUCCGAGUCCCUCUCCUAAACAUUUGAGUUUCAGACAUUUGUGCUGACUGGGUAAACCGGCAAGAACUUGAACGGACGUGAGAAGAAAACAUUGGUACAAUGAAGUCUUUAUUCGGGAGUCUCGUCUACUGCAUUUUCCUCUUUGUGUCUGAUGUAUACGGAACGUACCGCUUGAAUGGAUUCGAUCCACAGCAGGUUACUGCUCAAAGUUAUGCACAACGUAGAAAUAUUGCCCGGCCACCGCUGCGGACGCUCGCUCCUUCAGUUCACGCCAGUGCAUACAGGCAUAGAGGCUAUCACUACCACCACCAGCCACCAGGGAUCCACCUGCCCGUGGUUUACCAACAACCUGGCCCUCUAUCUCCACCCGUGGCUUACCCCAGAUCCUCUGUCCCCUUACCACCUUACCAACACAGAGCGCCACCGGUGGUGUACAACCUAUACCAAGACCUUUCACCUCCAGUAGUUCACCACCACCCGUUUAAAGUUUUUUUUCCACCAGUGAGCCACCACCACAAAUUCAAAGGUAAAUGUCCACACAUUUUACCUCUGGUACAGCCUAAACCUACUACAGUGCCAACGACCCCUGUGGUGUACCUACCCACCACAGUUCCAACUCUACCAUCAGUGACUACAUUGCAACCGGUGAUGACCACCUUGCCACUGGAGGUGACCACCACCCCUGUGCCGCCAACACUACCUGUCAGUACCCAAAGCGGCGUCGUCAUCAGCACCGCCAGUGUGGAGACAGCAACCGACAAUUCGUGCAGGAGCCGUCCCCUGGACCUGGUCUUCAUCAUCGACAGCUCCCGCAGCGUGCGCCCCGGCGAGUUUGAGAAGGUCAAGAUCUUCAUGGCCGACAUGGUCGACACCUUGGAUGUGGGACCAGAAGCCACCCGUGUGGCCGUGGUCAACUAUGCCAGCACAGUCAAGAUCGAGUUCCUGCUCAAGGCUCACCUGAACAAGCCCAACAUGAAGCAGGCUAUCACCCGCAUCGAGCCCCUCGCCGCCGGCACCAUGACUGGCCUGGCCAUCAAGUCGGCCAUGACCGAGGCCUUCACCGAAGAGUCAGGCGCCCGGCCAAAGUCAAAGAACAUCGCCAAAGUGGCCAUCAUCGUGACAGACGGGCGUCCUCAGGACCAGGUGGAGGAGGUGUCAGCGGCUGCCCGGGGGUCCGGCAUCGAGAUCUACGCGGUGGGGGUGGACCGAGCCGACAUGACCUCUUUGCGGCUGAUGGCCAGCAACCCUCUGGAAGACCACGUGUUCUACGUUGAGACCUACGGAGUCAUCGAGAAGCUCACCUCCAAAUUCAGGGAGACCCUGUGUGGUUGGGACCCCUGUGACAUGGGACACGACUGUGAGGACAUGUGUGUUAGCAGCAGCAGCAACAACUCCUAUCACUGCGAGUGUCGGGAAGGGUAUCUCUUGAACGCGGACAAGAAAACAUGUUCCCAGAGUCAGACACGUGUGGACUCCUGUGCCAUGGGACACGACUGUGAGCACAUAUGUGUCAGCAGCAACGCGUCCCAUCACUGCAAGUGUCGGAAGGGCUAUAUCUUGAACCUGGACCAGAAAACGUGUACUCUGAAACAGAUUAAGGCGGUGGUGGUGGUGGAGGACCCUUGUAAGUGUGAAGCCAGACUGGCUUUCCAGAUGCAGACACAGGCCGCCCUCCAGGAGAUCACUGCCAGAUAUAUCCUUUCUGUUAGUUCACAGUAGGAAAAUAACUGACCGCAGCACUCAAUAUAGGCUGAAGACUCAGUGGUAUGCCUCCUUCAAAACAAUUCAUGCGUUAUCUUGAAUGCCUUUUAUGAUUAAUGGGCUGGGUUGCAUGAUCUACCAUGACAUUAUGCAUUUUAGAUUUGUGGAAGCAAAUGCUACUUUGUCAACUGGAUAAUCUGAUCAAUUGUAAAAACAAAUAUAUGUAUAUGAAAAGAAAAGGUUAUAAAUAUUAGUUUUUCAGAUGUAACUGUUUAUUAACCUUUUAUUCAAGUUAGCUUACUCCUAAUGUUUUACCAUGGAAAAAGAAUUGCCUUUACUCUUCUCACUAGCUGACAUGACAGGAAGGGUGGAACAGAUUGAGAACAUUUUGGGACCUGUCUAAGUUGAGGAAGAAACGCAGGGUCAGACAACCUCCGAUGGCCCCGCCGUCAGUCACGGACCACUGCAACACAGGCAUGUACUACUACUGCUGUCCUCCAUCACAUCGGCGGAUAUCGACAACAACAGACAGUGGAACUUUGGAUAAACAACACUGCAACAGCUAGAAGGAAAUGAUGUCAGUCCAUGGUUCUUUAAACAAGCUAUUGGCCUUAGGUCAGGACUGUAUCAGGGAAUUAUGGGGGCUAAUGGUGUCAGUCUGUCCAUAUAUGAGCAUCAGGUUCCCACAAAACGUUACAGUAUAUAACGGUAUACACCUUUUAGAAAUGUGCUAAAUACAUCUAUUGUAUUAAUUCAUUUUCAUCAACUCUGCUUCAGCUAACACAUUUGAAUUUUGUUUUUGGAAGUUUCUUUGAAGUAUAUUGAGAAAUUGAAAUCAUGUUCAGUAGGGACCAGUCAGUGAGGGGCAGCGCUUUUAAUAUUUUGUUCUAUUUUAGAAAUGUUAUACUAUAUGAUCAUUUCCAAUCUGGUAGAAAUAUGUAAUUUGUUUUUUGUGCCCGCCAUAUAAGGUAUUUUUGUUAGGUUGUGUCAUUUGUCAGUGCAAAAUGUUGAACGCUAUAAUGUGAGGAAAAUGUACACCCCCAUGUGUGCUGUGUACGUCAGAAUAAAAAAACAAAUGUACUGAAUAUGUGGCAAUCAAGACCAGGGGAGGAAGUUAUUUUGCACAGUGCCUUUAUCCAUUGAACUACUUGAUGAAUAUUAAAUGGGAAGUUCAGUAUUUUACAAGUUGUUAGAUUGUUUCUCCCUCUGAAAGUAGUCUAGACCAGAAAAAACAGUACUCCAUGGUUCAGUUUCCUUAACAGCCUCUAAAAACCUAAUGACAGGUCGAAGGAAAAUGGCAAGAAUAGUGCAAGUUAACAGGCGGGACACAAACAGACAAAUAACAGCACAAUACCACAGUGGUGUGCAGAACGGCAUCUCGGAACGCACAACUCGUCGGUCCUUGUCAUGGAUGGUCUAUUGGUCGACCACACCAGGUUCCACUCACAUCAGCUAAAAGCAAAAAGAAGCGGUGCCAGUGGGCACGCCAUCACCAACACUGGACAAUUGAGGGGUGGAAAAAUAUUGCCUGGUCUAAUGAAUCCCGGUUCCUCUUGCCUCACGUUAAGUUAGGAUUUGGUGUAUGCAGCAGGAGUCCAUGGCCCCUUCGUGCCUGGUGUCAACGGUAUAGACUGGUUGCAGUGGUGUAAUGGUGUGGCGAAUGUUUUCCGGGCACACGUUAGGUCCUUUAAUCACAAUUGAACAAAGUUUGAACGCCACACCUUGUAGAAUCCAUGCCCAAAGAAUUCAGGCUGUUCUGGAGGCAAAGGGGGGGUCCGACCCGGUACUAGAUGGGUGUACGUAAUAAACUGGCAACUGAG